rnacentral:sRNA from 1 species
UUUGUUUUUGUUUGUUGCUCUUUUGUU